GUGCUAAGGUAGCAAAAUAAUUUGUUUUUUAAUUGAAAACCAGAAUGAAAGGUUAAACAAAUAUAUAUUAUUUUUUUUUAUUUAUUAAAAUUUUUAUUUUAUGUAAAAAUACAUAAAUGUGUUAAAGGGACGAUAAGACCCUAAAAGGUUUAUUUAAUAUUAAAUUUUAUUUGUUGUUUAUAAUUAAAAAUAUUAUGAAAAAUUUUAACUGGGGUAGUUGUUUUUAUAACAAAUAUUUUUAAAGACUUUUUGGUGAAAAGGUUCUUUAAUUAAAGAAAAGUUGUUUAAGUUACUUUAGGGUUAACAGCAUAAUAAUUAUGAAGAGUCCUUAUUUAUAUAAUUGAUUGUGACCUCGAUGUUGAAUUAAAUAAUUCUUUAUAGAGCAAUAGCUAUAUUUGAGAGUUUGUUCAACUUUUAAAAUUUUACAUGAUC
rnacentral:rRNA from 1 species